GACGAGGGGUCCAAGCGUUAUUCGGAAUCAUUGGGCGUAAAGCGUGCGCAGGCGGUUCCGUAAGUCUGUCGUGAAAUCCCCGGGCUUAACCUGGGAAUGGCGAUGGAGACUGCGAGGCUAGAGUUUGGCAGAGGGGGGUAGAAUUCCACGUGUAGCAGUGAAAUGCGUAGAGAUGUGGAGGAACACCGAUGGCGAAGGCAGCCCCCUGGGUCAAAACUGACGCUCAUGCACGAAAGCGUGGGGAGCAAACAGG
rnacentral:rRNA from 1 species